UAAGCAUAUCAAUAAGCGGAGGAAAAGAAACCAACAGGGAUUGCCCUAGUAACGGCGAGUGAAGCGGCAACAGCUCAAAUUUGAAAUCUGGCUCUUUCAGAGUCCGAGUUGUAAUUUGCAGAGGGCGCUUUGGCUUUGGCAGCGGUCCAAGUUCCUUGGAACAGGACGUCACAGAGGGUGAGAAUCCCGUACGUGGUCGCUAGCUAUUGCCGUGUAAAGCCCCUUCGACGAGUCGAGUUGUUUGGGAAUGCAGCUCUAAAUGGGAGGUAAAUUUCUUCUAAAGCUAAAUAUUGGCCAGAGACCGAUAGCGCACAAGUAGAGUGAUCGAAAGAUGAAAAGCACUUUGGAAAGAGAGUCAAACAGCACGUGAAAUUGUUGAAAGGGAAGCGCUUGCAGCCAGACUUGCUUGCAGUUGCUCAUCCGGGCUUUUGCCCGGUGCACUCUUCUGCAGGCAGGCCAGCAUCAGUUUGGGCGGUGGGAUAAAGGUCUCUGUCAUGUACCUCUCUUCGGGGAGGCCUUAUAGGGGAGGCGACAUACCACCAGCCUAGACUGAGGUCCGCGCAUCUGCUAGGAUGCUGGCGUAAUGGCUGUAAGCGGCCCGUCUUGAAACACGGACCAAGGAGUCUAACAUCUAUGCGAGUGUUUGGGUGUCAAGCCCGAGCGCGUAAUGAAAGUGAACGGAGGUGGGAACCCGCAAGGGUGCACCAUCGACCGAUCCUGAAGUUUACGGAAGGAUUUGAGUAAGAGCAUGGCUGUUGGGACCCGAAAGAUGGUGAACUAUGCUUGAAUAGGGUGAAGCCAGAGGAAACUCUGGUGGAGGCUCGCAGCGGUUCUGACGUGCAAAUCGAUCGUCAAAUUUGGGCAUAGGGGCGAAAGACUAAUCGAACUAUCUAGUAGCUGGUUCUG
rnacentral:rRNA from 1 species